rnacentral:misc_RNA from 1 species
UCCGGUUUAUCACCGGCAGUCUCCAUAGAGUUCUCGCCUUUACGCGUUAGUAACUAUGAAUAAGGGUUGCGCUCGUUGCGGGACUUAACCCAACAUCUCUCUUGCGAGCACUCCUACAUCUCUGCGGGAUUCUAGCGGAUUUAACCCAGGUAAGGUUUUGCGCGUUGCGUCGAAUUAAACCACAUGCUCCACCGCUUGUGCGGGCCCCCGUCAAUUCCUUUGAGUUUCAGCCUUGCGGCCGUACUCCCCAGGCGGGGCACUUACUGCGUUAGCGACGGCACUCAGAGGGUCGCUCCCCCAAGCACCUAGUGCCCAUCGUUUACGGCGUGGACUAC